UUAUUUGUAACUGACUUAAAAUGUCCGUUACGAUUAAAUGUUCAAAAUUAAUAACCCUCAAAACUUUUCUAAACCUAAAAACUUUUCAAUCCCCUUUUUUCAUUUUCCCUCCCUCAUACUCGAUAUGUUCCCCAUUACUGAAGCGUAAUCUCAUCUUCUUGCAAGCUCCUUCGCCGAUCCUCUCUUUCUACGUCACCAGUCCUCUGUUUCUCCGUCGUCGGGCCUCAACUCUUCUCCCUUUCUCCUUGCAAGCUCCGGUGGUCGCCUGUUUUUCUUCGUCCCUUCUCCAUCCCUUUCUCCCUUGCGAGCUUCGGUCGUUUGCUCCUCGCAAUUUCCGCCGUUUGCUUCGGUGGUUUUCUCCAUUCGUUUUCUCAGGUGGUUUUCUCCGGUCGUUUUCUCCAGUCUCCUUUGCAAGCUCUCUUCUCGAAACUCAAGAAUCCAGGUGUAGGCAUACUACAAUGGAAGAAAACAUAGAUGAUCAUGAUGGACAGGAACAAUCUGGUGACAUGGAUGCCUCCACUUCCCAAGUAAAAUCUUCUACAAAACAGGGACGAGGUCCGUCUAGAGCAGUCCAAACAACUACACCCAUGUUCCUCUACGAUAUAAAUAUGGUUUAUUGCUCUAAAUUUAACGAUACUUAUAAUUAAUUAUGAAACUUAAGAUUCUCUAAUUUUGUAGCGGAAGUUCCACAUUGAUGAUCCCAAGGGUAGUAAAGAGAAGAAGUUCCACGAAGCUGUUGGUGCUAGAUUUUGGAAGCACAAGUCUUGGUUAGUUUCACGAUUCAUUACUAAGGAAACUGCACCUCCGCAUGACUCACCAAGUGCAAACAUUAAGCCCUGGGAGCUUUAUGAAGGUUACAUCACAGAAGAGCAAUGGAAAAAGUUUAAGACAUAUUGCAAUACAGAUGAAUUUAAGGCUCUGAGUGAAAAAGGCAAGGAAAAUGCAAAGAAGAAUAAGCAUCGCCACCAUCUAGGCUCCAAGAGUUAUGAGAGGGCUCGAGUUGAUUGGAGUAAGACCAAUAGAAUUCCAGCAGAAUCUUCAACCUCAAGCACCACAGAGUCCACGACAAGCUGUGUAGCGAGUGAAAAGCUUAAAAAUCGGUCUCUUUAUUGGAUUUUGUCCCGUCAAACUCGUAAUGCAGAUGGAUCGUGGGCUAUAGACCCGAAGAAUGCCGAAACCCAGCAAAUAGCCAUUGAUAUUCUAAUUAAGAUCAUCAAUAUUGUACGCAAUUGCUUUCUUAUGGGUUUGAAGAACCCCUAGAAGUUUGGAAGUUUGUAGGUCAUUAAGUGCAGUACUGUUGAUCACGGGGUAUAGUUCAUGUUCAUCCAGAAAAAUAUAUUUUAAAUGAGAAGGGAGAGGUUUUAGUUCAGGUUUCUUGACCUCUGCAG